AUUGAACGCUGGCGGCAGGCCUAACACAUGCAAGUCGAACGGUAGCACAGAGAGCUUGCUCUCGGGUGACGAGUGGCGGACGGGUGAGUAAUGUCUGGGAAACUGCCCGAUGGAGGGGGAUAACUACUGGAAACGGUAGCUAAUACCGCAUAACGCCGCAAGACCAAAGUGGGGGACCUUCGGGCCUCACACCAUCGGAUGUGCCCAGAUGUGAUUAGCUAGUAGGUGGGGUAAUGGCUCACCUAGGCGACGAUCCCUAGCUGGUCUGAGAGGAUGACCAGCCACACUGGAACUGAGACACGGUCCAGACUCCUACGGGAGGCAGCAGUGGGGAAUAUUGCACAAUGGGCGCAAGCCUGAUGCAGCCAUGCCGCGUGUAUGAAGAAGGCCUUCGGGUUGUAAAGUACUUUCAGCGGGGAGGAAGGCGGUGAAGUUAAUAACUUCACCGAUUGACGUUACCCGCAGAAGAAGCACCGGCUAACUCCGUGCCAGCCGCCGCCGUAG
rnacentral:rRNA from 1 species